rnacentral:rRNA from 1 species
AGAGUUUGAUCCUGGCUCAGGACAAACGCUGGCGGCGUGCAUAAAACAUGCAAGUCGAACGGGCAGCCGUAAGGCUGUCAGUGGCGGACGGCUGAGUAACACGUAAGUGACCUACCCCCGAGUGGGGAAUAACUGCUCGAAAGAGUGGCUAAUACCGCAUAGGUUCCCCUGUUCGGUCAGGGGAGUAAAGCAGCGAUGCGCUUGGGGAUGGGCUUGCGGCCGAUUAGCUAGUUGGUGAGGUAACGGCCCACCAAGGCGAUGAUCGGUAGCUGGUCUGAGAGGAUGAUCAGCCAGACUGGGACUGCGACACGGCCCAGACUACCUACGGGAGGCAGCAGUUAGGAAUUUUGUCGCAAUGGACGAAUAGUCUGACGCAUGCAACGCCCGCGUGGGGGAUGAAGGUCUUCGGAUGNGUAAACCUCUUUUACCGGGGAAGAUGAUGACGGUACCCGGCGAAUAAGNCCCCGGCCAA